rnacentral:rRNA from 1 species
UACGAAGGGGGCGAGCGUUGUUCGGAAUUACUGGGCGUAAAGGGCGCGUAGGCGGCCCCUUUUGUCGCGUGUGAAAGCCCCGGGCUCAACCUGGGAGUUGCGCGCGAAACGGGGGGGCUUGAGUUCGGGAGAGGAGCGUGGAAUUCCCAGUGUAGAGGUGAAAUUCGUAGAUAUUGGGAAGAACACCGGUGGCGAAGGCGGCGCUCUGGACCGAGACUGACGCUGAGGCGCGAAAGCGUGGGGAGCAAACAGG